AACGAACGCUGGCGGUAUGCUUAACACAUGCAAGUCGUACGUGAAAGUUUCCUUCGGGAAGCAAGUAAAGUGGCGCACGGGUGAGUAACACGUGGAUAAUCUACCCGAUAGUUAGGGAUAACAUUUCGAAAGGAAUGCUAAUACCUGAUAAGCUCACGACGUCCUCGGACGAAGUGGGAAAAGGUGGGGACCUUCGGGCCUGCCGCUAUCGGAUGAGUCCGCGUCCCAUUAGCUAGUUGGUAGGGUAAUGGCCUACCAAGGCUACGAUGGGUAGCUGGUUCUGAGAGGAUGAUCAGCCACACUGGAACUGAGACACGGUCCAGACUCCUACGGGAGGCAGCAGUGGGGAAUUUUGCGCAAUGGGCGAAAGCCUGAUGCAGCAACGCCGCGUGAGUGAUGAAGGCCUUCGGGUCGUAAAACUCUUUUCUUGGGGAAGAAUAAUGACGGUACCCAAGGAAUAAGCCCCG
rnacentral:rRNA from 1 species